AAGAAAAACAGGUAAUGGCACUUCACCUUGAGUCUGUUUCUUUUUUUGGAAUAUUUUCAUCUUUUGUUUCUUCUUGUGUCUUACUUUGCAAUUAGUCAAAUUCAG
rnacentral:ribozyme from 1 species